UGGUAAGCACUCGUAAAAGUGUGGCGUAUCCCCAACCGAGAUAUCAAAACAUGAAAUACCUCAGCCAUAAAUGCAGGACCAUUAUCCGAAAGAAUCCGCUCUGGACAAGAAUGCUGGAAUACCACUCGAUUGAGGAGGAAGUAUCCAACAGCAGUUGCAGAGGCACUAGCAAGAGCACCAACUUCCACCCAACGAGUCAAGUAGUCAGAAGCAAUAAUAACAUACUCAUUGCUAGCAGUCGAUCGUGGAAAAGGUCCCAUAAGAUCAAACGCCACCAACUCAAACGGACAAGAAACUGCAAUUGACUCUAACCGUCCUUCCGCAGCACAAGGGGGAGUAUUACGAGCUUGGCACCAAACGCAGCUACGUACAUACCAGAUAAUAUCACGUCACAUCUUUGGCCAAUAGAAAGAUCUGCGCAGCUUCUCGGUGACACGACGGUGUCCCAUAUGCCCACCUAGAAUAGGAGAAUCAUGGUAGGCAUGGAGAAACCGCGGAAUAAACACCGAAGGCACCACCAGCCGUAAAUGAUCAUCAGGAUCCGUCCCCACAAAAUAAAGAAGGCCAUCUUCAAGGCAAUAUUGAGAAUGUAAAUGCCGAAAAGGCAAGUCAUCAGCAAGUGAUGCAGGAUUCUCAAACCCAUCUCGAAGCCUUCGAAUCCACGGCUCAAUCUUUUGAGCCUCGCGAACCUCAUCAAGAGAAGGUAGAUCUUGCUCUGCGCCCUGUGGACACUGAACGUCAAGGACAACAACCGCCGAUGGCACAGAAUCCUCAUCUAGAAAAUCCACAGAUGCUGGAACAACAGGUUCGUCAGAAACAUGAGAAGUGAGUGGAGAAGGAAGAGGAGCUCGAGAAAGGGCAUCAGCAUCAGCUAUAGAACUCCCUGGGCGAUGAACAACAUCGAAAUCAUAUAUCUGAAGCUUCAAAGCCCAUCGAGCCGUACGACCAACCAGGUUCUUCCGCUUCAAUAAUGAAGUAACAGCAGCAUGGUCACCUUCAAGUAACGUCCGAGAACCAUGUAGAUAUGCAUGAAAUUUCUCGAAACCCCAGACUGCUGCUAAACACUCCUUCUCUGUCGUGGAGUAGUUCAUCUCUGCUGGUUGUAAUGUACGGCUUAUGUAUGCAAUGGGAUGGCGCUGACCAGGCACACUCGAGCUCUCUUGCAUCAACACACCUCCAAGACCAAUGUCAGAAGCAUCCACGCGCAAAAUAAAAGGUCGAGUGUAGUCAGGAUAUGCCAAAACCGGAGGAGUCGUCAAUAGCUCUUUGAGAUUCACGAACGCCCGCUCACAAUCAGGAGACCAGAUGAAAGAUGACGUUGAUGACUUCAACAACGCUCGCAAUGGUGUAGUGCGAUCAGAAAGAUGAUCCACAAAACGACCGAGAUACUGCACCUUACCCAAAAAGCGCUGCACAUCAUUCACACACUUUGGAGUAGGGAACUUUAGAACAGCCACAAGUUUGUCAGGAUCAACUUGCAAACCCUCACGAGAAAUACGGUACCCAAGAUAAGUUGUGUCCUUGGACCCAAACACGCACUUCGACUGCUUCAGCUUUAAACCAACAUCGCGUAGCCGAUCCAACACUUUACAAACAUCAUGAACGUGCUCCUCCCACGUCCCCUCCGAGUGGAUCAAAACAUCAUCAAUGAAGUCAGCCGUCACCUCCAGCAUAUCGCAAAGAACCUCGUCCAUCAUCCGCUGAAAAGUUGCUGGAGCAUUGUUCAAACCAAACGGCAUCACCAAAAACUCGUACAAACCAAAUGGUGUACGAAAAGCAGUCUUAGGAAUAUCUUCUUCGGCCAUCGGUACUUGCCAAUACCCAGAAGCAAGAUCUAGCUUGGUGAACCAACGACUUCGCCCCAGAUGAUUCAAGAAAUCAGCAGUGUGAGGAAGAGGGUACACGUCCGGGAUCGUCACUUUAUUUAACGGACGAUAGUCGAUGCAGAAAUGAAUACUCCCAUCAGGCUUCGUCACAAGAUGAGGUUCACAUGCCCAAGGACUCCGCGACUUCCGAAUAACACCCUUCUCCAACAUCUCCUUAACGUUUGCACGUAAAAUCUUGAUCUCCUUGGGUGACCGACGACGAACAGGAACCUUGAUUGGACGAGCAUCCCCGGUUGGAAUGGGAUGACGUGUGGCAACCUUGGCCCCAGACGAUAGGUCAAAUUCAAAGAGAUCAGAAUACUCCUUCAUGAGCUGGUCAACAGCUGCAACACAAAGAUCAUCGGAGGGAUCGGAAAAGGGAAGAGCAGAACAAGAUGGAAACACAAGAGGAAAUAGUGGGGGAACAAAAGUAAUGGAAGCAGAGGUAGAAGUAGAGGGACGAAGAGGUACGGAAGUGAGAGGAAUGGAUGAAACAUAAGGAAGUAUGAGACAAGGGGGAGAAGCCUCAAAGUCACACUUGGCAUGAUUGUGCUGCAACCAAUCCAUACCAAGAAUGAGGUCAAAAGCUUGACUCGGCACCACCCGCAACGACUGCAACUCAAGCUCGAGAUCGCCCACACGCACAACCAGGUCCGCCUCAUCUCGUGCACAUGCAUGUGUACGGCCGUUGCCAUAAAGAAUGAAAACUGGAUCCGCCGCACGACGCAAGUGUAGACGACAACGUGUGGCAACAGGUCGAGCAAUAGAAGAUAAACUCGAACCUGUAUCAACCAACACGGAGAGAAGAAUAGGAGACCUCUUGUUAUAAAAACGAGCUUGGAAAGUAAACACUGGAUGAACUGGUGCCGAGUGAACCCCUUGAUGAUACUCCCGAAAGAAAGAUGGAGGGGUCACCAACUUAUUCGCGCAAGGUUCCUCCAUUACUCGUGCGACUGCUCGUUUCCCAAAUGCACCUCAGUAUCCAAACCUUCCACCGCAGUAGCACCAACGGGACGUUGCUGACGCCAAGGUCUCCACCCAGGAAAUGGAGGUCGCCAAUCCAGAAAGCGCCGACAACGCCGAUAAGUAUGACCAACUUCAUCACAUGCCCAGCAACGAACGUCACGGCCACGACCACGUCCUCGCCCUUGUCCUUGGACUCGAGCAGCAGCAGCAUCAACCUCCAUGGGAACAGGACCAUCACUCAUAGGAAGUGGAGCUGAAGGACGUGUAGCAAGAAGUGGAAGAGGCGACGUCUCAUAACGUUGUGCCAAGCGAAGAGCAUCGUCAAGAGUGGCAGGAGCAAGUGCAUGCACAAGUCCGACAAGAUCUUGACGAAGUGCUGGCCACAACAUUCCUAGCUUGAUCCGCUCCGACAUAUUUGACUCCGCACGAAGCAAAAGACUUCGGAAACAAACGCCAAAUUGCAUCACCGACUCAGAUGGCCCUUGGCGAAGACGAUGCAAUUGUUGGAAGGCAUCAUCACAAUCGUCGGCGUGUCCGAAGGCGCGUUUGAAGACGUCCGGAAGAACACUCCAAUCGCCACGAGUGGCUGCACUCAAUCCAUUAUACCACUGCAAUGCCGUCCCUUGGAGACAUGUGGGGAACUCACGCAAACAUCGAGCAUCAUCCCAAGAAUGAUAUGCGGCAAUCACCGUGAAGUGAUCGAACCAAUGGUACACAUCAUCCCUAGGAUUCCCACGAAAGAACUCCGGCCGAACGCGAGGAUUGGCACCAAGAGCAGGAGGAGUUGUACCAUGUGCCGUGAACGCCGCUAUCAACUGAGUUUGGUUGCUCAAUUGCAAACGCAUAGCAUCAAGCAAUUGAACCAACUACUGCUCUAGAGUCAAAGGAGGAGAUUGUGGAUCGGCCAUGAAGAUGAAUAAAAAAAGAAAGAGCAAAAGAAGAGAAAUGACAAAAAGCUGGAAAGAAAUGGUAGAUCUAGACAAUGCAAAAAGCUAGAUCUAAACCAAAAUCCUGAAAGGAAAGAACAAAAAAAAGGAAAUGGAAAAAGCUAGAUCUAGACAAUGCAAAAGUUAGAUCUAAACUGAAAUCCCAAAUCUAGGCACUCCCCAGGGACAAUCAAAGCUGCCCUUCAUCUCCACCAAUGUGAGUGCAUGGAAUAUAGAAAGGGAAUACAGAAAUGUGCAUAUCAAUUAGCCCAAAAACCUUAGCUUAUAUAUAGGAGCGAGUGGUCCGGAUUGAAACCAAUCCGGCGGCUACCAAAAUCCCACUACGCUAAUAUUAGUAUACGGCAUCAUAGCCAUACACUUUGCCCUCACAAUGUGUGUAUAUGUAUAUAUAUAAACAUUUAGAUAUUUAUAAUCAUAAAAAUUCUGAACACCAAUUUUUUAAAACUUUUAUUACUUUUCUUUUGGUAAAAUUCUCUAGAUCAUGUAAUAUGCUUGUAUUAUAUCUCAAAUGAUAACAUACAAGUAGGUGGUUUUCUCUCUAUGGUAUUCCAAAACCAAUACAACGUCAUCAGAUUUUUUAAAAGAAAGAAAUGUGAUCAAAGUAUAAAUGUUGAUGACUUCAUUCAAAACGUUUUAAGUUGGGUAAUAUGCGUGUUUAUAGGACUAGGGUUCCAGAGCCUUGGGCGAUGCCGCGAUGGAGAAAGGUAUGGGAUUAGCGGGCCUAGCUCCUGCACAUUCCCUCCCAUGUCAUGGCUGUGGUGCCGGCGGCUCGCAAUUCGCCGUUUUUCUCGAGAGAAAGGAGAGGCUAUGGCGCUUCCAGCACCAGCGACGAAGGAAUGCAAGGAAGGACUUUCACAAAAACAAGCAGCAGUGGCUCAGAGGAUAAAAGAAUUCUCAGCUGGAACAAGAUCAAACAAGAGGAGGACAAGAGGAAAAAGGAGAUGGUGCUGGAGCUCAUUGCUGCAUUGAAGGCGGCGAGCGGCUCAAAAGCGAUCGAGAGGGGAAGGCAGCUCCAUGCCGCAGCGGUUGAGAGUGGCAACGGUUCCAACUUCUACGUUGCGAGCUCUCUCGUGAGCAUGUACGCGAGAUGUGGCUGCAUGGGCGAGGCUCGCUCGGUGUUUGAUGCCAUGGAGCACCACGAUGUGGUUCUCUGGACAGUGCUCAUGCUCGGCUACUCCAAGAACGGCCAUGGAGAAGUGACUUUGGAGCUCUUCUCGCGGAUGCUGCUCGUCGCAAGGCCGAAUUCUCAGACGUUUCUGGCUGUGCUCAAGGGCCUUUCGAGCUUGGCUGCAAGGGAGGAAGGCAGGAGAUUCGGUGGAAAGGUGGUGAAGACAAGGACUCUGGAAAGAGUCAUGGCUGUCCACUUGCAAGCCGAGGGAUUUGGAUGCGAGCUGGAUAACUUUGUGGCGAGCUCGCUGGUGGACAUUUAUGCCAGGUGUGGGAGCAUGAGGGAUGCUCGCAGAGUUUUCGAUCGAAUGCCGAGCCACAACUUGGUGGUCUGGACGGCAUUGAUCCUGGGCUAUGCUACGAACGGGGAGAAUGAGGUUGGCCUCAGGCUCUUCGCUCGGAUGCUUGGCGAAGAAGAAGGACGCAGGACAGAUUCGCAGGCUUUUGUUGCUGCGCUCAAAGCUUGCACGGGGCUGACGGACAGAGAGGUGGCAAACGACUCAGGUGUAAAGAUCCAGUGCUUGGAGAAAGGCAUGGCUGUGCAUCGUGAAGCUGCCAAGAGUGGAGUUGCAACGGAGAUAUUCGUGGGAAGUGUCCUGGUGGAUACAUACGCGAAGUGCGGAAGCAUGGAGGACUCCCGCAUCGUGUUUGAGAAGAUGGUGGCUCAGGACGUGGUCUCGUGGACCGCUCUCCUGUUUGGCUACGCACAGAAUGGCGAGAGCGAGCUGACCCUUGGGAUGUUUGAGAGAAUGAAAGCCUCGGGGUGUGCACCGAAUGCUCAGACGUUCGUGGCAGUUCUUCACGCGUGCACGAACUUGGCUCUGCGAGAGGACGGCAUUGAAGAGGACGGCAAAGUCCUCAAGGUGAAAGCUCUGGAGAAAGGCAUGGCUGUUCAUCGGGAAGCUUUCAAGGCCGGGUUUGAGCCGGACAUCUGUGUGAGCAGCACGCUGGUGGAUAUGUACUCCAAGUGCGGCAGCGUCCUUCAGGCUCGCCGGGUGUUUGACAGGAUGAAGCGCCACGAUGUGGUGUCAUGGACAGCGCUCAUACUCGGCUGUGCUCAAAACGACGAGGGAGAUAUGGCACUGGAGCUCUUCACAAAGAUGAGGCUUGAAGAGAAACGUUGCCAGCCCGACGAUCAGACGUUCGUUGCCGUGCUGAAGGCCUGCUCCACAGUUGCAUCGCUCGAGUUUGGAAAGAAGAUCCAUGCAGAUAUAUGCCGGUGUGGACUCGAGGCUGGCAGGCUUGUCACGAACUCGGUGGUGGAUUUCUACGGCAAGUGCGGGAGCAUGGUCGUGGCUCACCAGGUUUUCGAUUCCGCUAGAACAAGAGCCCGGGAUAUAGUCUCGUGGAACUCGCUCAUCACAGGCUACAGCCGCCACGGUGAAACCGACGCCGUCCUCGAGCUCUUUGCAAGGAUGGUGGAAGAAGGCUUCCAACCGGAUGGCAUCACCACACUGGCGGUCUUGAACGCGUGCUGCCAUGCCGGGCUGGUUGAAAGAGGGAGGAAGCUCUUCCAGGAGAUGUGCUCCCGGAACGUGACGAUGGAGCACUACCACGUCGUGGUGGACAUGCUAGGCCGGGCAAACAAACUCCAGGAGGCGGUGGAGAUGGCGAACUCGAUGCCUUUCGCAGCGAAUGUGGUGACAUGGACCAUCGUGCUGAGCUCGUGUCACAAGUGGAAGAGCUUGGAAUUUGGAAGGCUGGCGUUUGAGGCACUGGUGAAGCUGGAUGAGAAGCAGGCUGCUACUUACGUUCUCAUGGCCAACAUCUAUGGAAGCUUGGGCAUGGUUGAGGAGAAAGCUAGAGUUCAUGCGAUGAGCAGGAAGAUUGGCGCGUGGAAGAAGCCUGGAUCAGUGGUAGUCAAUCUCGAUUCGUUUGUCAGUUGUGGUGAUCAUCCUCAAAAGGAAGAGGAAAAGAACUAUUAUCAAACUUGUGACAGACAUACUUGUAAAAUAGAACUUCUAUAAACUCACUCCAUUUUGUAUCAAACUUUCUUUUGGUAGGAAAGAGGUUAGAGUGAAGCUUUGGAAGUGAAAGAGAACAAACCUGGCGGAUGGCAUGACCCAAUGACGUGCAUCAUGAAUCAGCUAAACCUGUAAAGGUGACAAUGUUAAACAAGUCAUUUGAUCAUACAAACCACGCAGGAGCCCCUAUAUAAAAGCCCCUGGUGAUCAGGACUAUGAAUCAAUCAGUGCUCCAUAUUUACAAAAGAGAGUGUCAAUGGCUUCCUCCACUCAGUUUGUUCUUGCAUUCUUUCUAGUGGCAAUAAGCCUUAUCAACGUUGAAUCCCAGGAUUCAGAAAAAUGUAGCGGGGGUACUACCGUCUGUUGCUCCAAUAUCGAUUCUUCUAAAGAUCUUGUUGAUAUCGAUCUAGUUGCUCUUUUGGGAUUCAAAAACUUCGCCUGCAUACUCAAUCAGGUUAAGUGUGAAACACUGAAAUCUGCUGCAAGGAGAAAUGCAAAGCUAUUUAGGCCAAUCAAGCACCAAGAAACAAAAGCAUAAAUAAAUUCCUCUUAAAUCACUAAAUCGACAAAGCUUUCUUUCUCAAUGUUUUUGACCUAGUGCGUUGGUAUUGAUAUCAGCUAUUUUAAACUCUGUCAGGCAACACUUUUUCUUCCCAGGAGCAUUUUGGAUUUAAAAGCUGCAUUUAUCGUUCAUUACAUAAUGAGUCUGAACUCGCAGAUAUCCAAACACUCUUAGCUUCUAGUCAAUGAUCAUAAUUUCCCUUCAGCUAGAUACUCCGCCACCGCCGCCACCGCCACCACAACCACCGCCGCCACCACCACCACCUCCUCCGCCACACCCGCCACCACCACCUCCGCCACACCCGCCACCACCACCUCCGCCACCUCCUCC
rnacentral:lncRNA from 1 species